GUGGGGAAUUUUGGACAAUGGGCGCAAGCCUGAUCCAGCAAUGCCGCGUGCAGGAAGAAGGCCUUCGGGUUGUAAACUGCUUUUGUACGGAACGAAACGGUCCGGGUUAAUACCCUGGGCUAAUGACGGUACCGUAAGAAUAAGCACCGGCUAACUACGUGCCAGCAGCCGCGGUAAUACGUAGGGUGCAAGCGUUAAUCGGCAUUACUGGGCGUAAAGCGUGCGCAGGCGGUUAUGUAAGACAGAGGUGAAAUCCCCGGGCUCAACCUGGGAACUGCCUUGGUGACUGCAUAGCUGGAGUGCGGCAGAGGGGGAUGGAAUUCCGCGUGUAGCAGUGAAAUGCGUAGAUAUGCGGAGGAACACCGAUGGCGAAGGCAAUCCCCUGGGCCUGCACUGACGCUCAUGCACGAAAGCGUGGGGAGCAAACAGGAUUAGAAACCCCGGUAGUCC
rnacentral:rRNA from 1 species